AUCCAGCCGACGUCCCAAAUAGGACGAAAUGCGCAUCCUGGAU
rnacentral:hammerhead_ribozyme from 1 species